rnacentral:rRNA from 1 species
GACGAACGCUGGCGGCGUGCUUAACACAUGCAAGUCGAACGGAAAGGCCCUGCUUUUGUGGGGUGCUCGAGUGGCGAACGGGUGAGUAACACGUGAGUAACCUGCCCUUGACUUUGGGAUAACUUCAGGAAACUGGGGCUAAUACCGGAUAGGAGCUCCUGCUGCAUGGUGGGGGUUGGAAAGUUUCGGCUGUUGGGGCUGGUUUGGCUGCUUAUGAGCUUCUUGGUGGAGUAGUGGCUUACCAAGGCUUUGACGGGUAGGCGGCCUGGGAGGUUGACCGGCGACAUGACGACUGAGGGACGCAGCAGACGGGUACGGGAGGCAGUAGGGGGGAAUCUUGCAGAAUGAGCGGAAGUCUGAUGCAGCAACGCCGGGAGCGGGAUGACGGCUUUCGGGUUGAAAACCGCUUUGGAAUGAGACGAAGCGUGAGUGACGGUAAUUGGUAAAGAAGCAACGGCUAACUACGUG